CCUACGGGAGGCUGCAGUGAGGAAUAUUGGUCAAUGGCCGAGAGGCUGAACCAGCCAAGUCGCGUGAGGGAAGACGGCCCUACGGGUUGUAAACCUCUUUUGUCGGGGAGCAAAGCGAGUCACGUGUGACUGAUUGAGAGUACCCGAAGAAAAAGCAUCGGCUAACUCCGUGCCAGCAGCCGCGGUAAUACGGAGGAUGCGAGCGUUAUCCGGAUUUAUUGGGUUUAAGGGGUGCGCAGGCGGCGGUUCAAGCGGGCGGUCAAAUUGCGGGGCUCAACCCCGUACUGCCGUGGAAACUGCGGUCCUUGAGUGCGCGGGAAGUAUGCGGAAUUCGUGGUGUAGCGGUGAAAUGCGUAGAUAUUAGGAGGAACACCGGUUGCGAAGGCGGCUUACUGGAGUGUAACUGACGUUGAGGCUCGAAAGCGUGGGGAGCAAACAGGAUUAGAUACCCGGGUAGUC
rnacentral:rRNA from 1 species